GUCUGGUGAUGAUAGCGAAGAGGUCACACCCGUUCCCAUACCGAACACGGAAGUUAAGCUCUUCAGCGCCGAUGGUAGUCGGGGGUUUCCCCCUGUGAGAGUAGGACAUCGCCAGGC
rnacentral:rRNA from 1 species